UCCCUCAAUAUAUUCUAUAAAUAAAUUGAAAACCAAGAAAACAAUUAACAACCACUAUAUUGGAACCAUAUCUACCACUGCACAGAAUUUACCCUACGAAGAACAUGUGGUGGCCUUCGCUUCUCAACGACAGGAAUGAGGUUCUCCAUAAGCUCUUUAAAUCUCUUCUUCUUUUGCUCAACCUCUUCCCUUAAUAGACGUGAAUUCUCCUCCUCAAGUUGUGUCACCAAGGAUUCUAGCUCAACAGUGUAAGCCUGUUUACGUUCCCUAGACCUGGCAGCAGAUUCACGAUUCUUGAUCAUUCUCCUCUGCUUCUGCUGGGUGGCCUUAUCCAUUGGAGGCUCCUCCACAGCCCUCCUCUUCUGCCUCCCUUUUCCUCCUUCCGCCACCAUCAUCAUCCCAUUUCCCGCCCCUUGAAAUUCUCCGUUGUCAUAAUUAUUAUUAUCAUUGGUUAUUUUGCUAUUGCUAUCCACACCAUAAGCUCCUACAGCCGCCCCCACCUGAACCGGAACUCCAACCCCUCUAACAUCCUCCUCCCUCACCGCACCGGCCUUAGUCAAAAAAUCCUCCAAAGUCAUCCCCUCGAUUCCUCCACCACCACCACCACAAUUUCCCUCCCGCCUCUGAUCCCCGCCAGCCACUAUCUCCUUCCAAACUUCAUCAACGGACUUGCUAGCAGCCUCCUUAAGCAAAGGGAAGCCGCCGUCGCGUGAGAUAGACGCGCCACUGGAGAAGGAUGGCACGUGGAGAUCGUUUGGUGUCAGUUGA
rnacentral:misc_RNA from 1 species